AUUGAACGCUGGCGGCAGGCCUAACACAUGCAAGUCGAGCGAGCGGCGGACGGGUGAGUAAUGUAUGGGGACCUGCCUGAUAGAGGGGGAUACCUACUGGAACCGGUGGCUAAUACCGCCUACUAUCCGAUGUGCCCACAUGGGAUUAGCUAGUAGGUGGGGUAAAGGCUCACCUAGGCGACGAUCCCUAGCUGGGCUGAGAGGAUGACCAGCCACACUGGAACUGAGAGACGGCCCAGACUCCUACGGGAGGCAGCAGUGGGGAAUAUUGGACAAUGGGCGCAAGCCUGAUGCAGCCAUGCCGCGUGUGUGAAGAAGGCCUUCGGGUCGUAAAGCACUGUCAGCGGGGAGGCGUUACCCGCAGAAGAAGCACCGGCUAACUCCGUGCCAGCAGCCGCGGUAAUAC
rnacentral:rRNA from 1 species